rnacentral:ncRNA from 2 species
CUCUUAUCAAGAGAGGUGGAGGGAAAUGGCCCUUUGAAACCCAGCAACCUACAAAUAAUUUAAUUAUUAAAGUGUGGUGCUAAUUCCUGUAGAGUAAUCUACAAGAUAAGAA